CUCGAAUACUCCCGUACUUGCUUCUAGAAUCUAAGCAUAAAAUCAUACGUCACAAUUACAUGGGGAUCAACACCAUCUUCCUCCCCCCUCGCCUUUUAGGCUUCACCUUUGUCCUCACUCUCAAUCUUAUCCUAUCCUCAUUCACCCAUAUAAAGAUCCGACCCUGACACCGUUAUCGGAUCUCCCCUCCCUCCCUUCCUCCAGGAUCCGAUAUCGAUCUCAUAAACGAGGUAUCUGAAUGCCGACGUCCUUAUUUUCUCUCUUUGAUUGAUCCCAGUUAGCACAAAAUUAGCUAAAAUUUUCCGGAGAAUCACAUCUUAGUUCAAAAUGGGGCGUUCCUAUGAUCCAGAAAACGAGUCAUCAGAUUCUAGGAAAAUCAUCAUGCACCCCCUUUACCUGCCAAAGAUGCCACCUUGGUUCGAUCUGAGAGUCUUCUAUGUGAGAGUAAGCAAUUGCGAGGUCAACGAAUCAACUCCCGAGCUUCUCAAGGUUAACCACAUCCCACUUACCCCCGAUACCAUUCUCGACGUUAACGGAAGAAGAAGUAGCAUUUACUCUGAUUGUGUCUCUUCGAUGCUUAGAAGAGAUAGAGUUGAUAAGGAUUCGGAAGAGGCUACAUUUGUGAGCACGGAUAGUAUAAGAAUGACGAGUAGUGUGAGAUUUGAGGUCUUUGAUAGAGAUGAACUAUUGCUAGCAGGAGUGCUAGAGUUGUGUAAUGGGAAUGGGUUUGUAGGGGAAUCGAAAAGCCAUGGUAAGAAAUGGAGCAUGAAAUGCCAGUCCGUGAUGUCUGCUGCGAGUUUUUUGAAGGGUAAACAGUAUUUGAGCCCGGAGAUGAAUUUACCGACAAUUGAUGUUUAUGUAGCUGGUUGCUUCUCGGGGACUCCUAUCAUACUAACAAAGACUCUUCAGCUUUCUUUUCGCAAGAAAAACCAGAAGAAGGCAGCUCUGGAUUCAAUUCCAGAGAAUGAAACAACUGAACUGAGGAAAGAAGUGUCAUCUGAAGAUGCUCUCCAGUUGCAGCAUUCAGGCAUAAUGGUCUUGUUUUUCAUGUGGAUGAUUAUGGGCGCAAGACUUGUAUAUAAUAUCACACAUUCUUAUUUCAUGCCAUGCAGUUCAGCUAGUUCGCACUUUGUUCUCUUUGGUUAAUGCUCUGUAGGAGAAACAUGUGACAAAUUCUGUUUGAAUCAUUAAUUGACACUUCUUACCGAGGCUUCCAGUUCAGCUAAAUUGGUAAGGUUUUCUGUAGAUAAGCGGGAUGCAAACAUUCAAAUCCUCACUGUCAUCAUUUUUAAACAGAAGUCAAAGAAUCAAGAUUGGUGAUCAUUGGCAUGAACAACUGGCCUCAAGUAUGAGACGAAUUUGGAUUGCUAGUUAUCGAGCGCAAACACCAAACUCUUUCUUAUAAUUUUGAAUUGUGCAUCCAUCAGCAGCUUGAUCUUGCUGAUCUUGAUAUACAAGGUAUCUGAAUACCAUGAUUACAGAGCAGAAAAUGACGUGGACAUUGAUUACAACAGUAUCUACUCAAGGGAAGAAUAUAUUGAAGGUGAGG